GGGAAGCUCCCCUCCCCGCCCCCUCCCCUCCCCCACCGCCUCCCUGCCCGCCCGGAUCCAGCCGGGCGCCCCGUGCCGCGGUCGCGUUGCUCGGCAGAGCUGCUGCGGGCGCUCGCCGUCUCUGCGCGGGCUUGGAAUAUGGUUGGGGAAAUGGAAACCAAGGAGAAGCCGAAGCCGAGCCCCGAUUACCUGAUGCAGCUGAUGAACGACAAGAAGCUGAUGAGCAGCCUCCCCAACUUCUGCGGGAUCUUCAACCACCUCGAGAGGCUGCUGGACGAAGAAAUUAGCAGAGUACGGAAAGACAUGUAUAACGACACAUUAAAUGGUAGUACGGAGAAGAGAAGUGCAGAAUUACCAGAUGCUGUGGGACCUAUUGUACAGUUACAAGAGAAACUAUAUGUGCCUGUAAAAGAAUAUCCAGAUUUUAACUUUGUUGGAAGAAUCCUUGGGCCCAGAGGACUAACAGCUAAACAGCUUGAGGCAGAAACAGGAUGCAAGAUAAUGGUCCGAGGGAAGGGCUCAAUGAGGGACAAAAAGAAGGAAGAACAGAAUCGAGGCAAGCCCAACUGGGAACACCUGAAUGAAGAUUUACAUGUACUUAUCACUGUGGAGGAUGCUCAAAACAGAGCAGAAAUAAAGCUGAAGAGGGCUGUUGAAGAAGUAAAAAAGUUACUGAUACCUGCAGCAGAAGGAGAAGACAGCCUUAAAAAGAUGCAGCUGAUGGAGCUUGCAAUUCUGAAUGGCACCUACAGAGAUGCCAACAUCAAAUCACCAGCCCUUGCCUUUUCUCUUGCAGCAACAGCCCAGGCUCCAAGGAUUAUUACUGGGCCUGCGCCUGUUCUCCCACCAGCUGCCCUGCGUACUCCUACGCCAGCUGGCCCUACCAUAAUGCCUUUGAUCAGACAAAUACAAACCGCUGUCAUGCCAAACGGAACUCCUCAUCCCACCGCUGCAAUAGUUCCUCCCGGACCCGAGGCCGGUUUAAUUUACACACCGUACGAGUACCCCUACACGCUGGCACCAGCUACAUCAAUCCUUGAGUACCCUAUUGAACCUAGUGGUGUAUUAGGUAUGGCUUUCCCAACGAAAGGCUAAGAAUUCAAGAACGGUCUUAACUGAUCCUUCAUCAGAUCUGAAUUUUAACAAAUGCUUAGUUUUCAGCAGCCUUGAAAAAAGCUUGGCCUAGCAGUCAGUGACUUACUUGCACUUUUUUGCACAUAGAUUUAAAAUAAAAUAGUGCUAUUAAUUUGGAUUAGGUCCUAUUAUUACAGAGUAGCUGUAAUUUAUGAGUGUAUAGUAGUAUACUGACUGCUAAGUGUUCUAUAUAGUGUUUGCUUUACUAAUCACCUAAUUCAUUGCAGUUCAUACUUAUUGACUUAAAGUUUAAAAUCACAAUCUGUAGGCUUGAAGAAUUGCUUUAAAACUUUUUUUUGUGGUAGAACUGGAAGUGAUCUUAAGGUUAGCAAAUAAUUGUCAGUAUUAAAGAUGGCAUUAUUUAAAAUAGUCCUGCUGCAAGAAAGGCACUUCAGUGAAUAUGUGACUAGUAAAGCUUAAAUGUGCUUGGGUCUAAUAGAUUUCAUGAAAUACUGUAAUUUUGGGAUUGUAAAUGAAUGGAUUAAACAGGUUAAGGCCAGGAUGUUUAAAAUAAAUGCAAUAUUAAUCUGCACAGAUAAACUUCUUUUUAAGAUUAAGAUUUGAAACUACUGUGCCUUAACUUGUUGCUUUUCUUAAAAUGAACUUUUGUAGUUAAUGAUCAUUUAAAUCCAUUUUGAUAAACCUGCUGUUAAUGUUUUCUGUGAAUGUUUUCUAACUUUGUCUUGGUAAUUGCAAUUUAACUAGGUGCGGUGGCUACUAAAGUUCGAAGGCACGAUAUGCGUGUCCAUCCUUACCAAAGGAUUGUGACCGCAGACCGAGCCGCCACCGGCAACUAACCUAUG